UACGGGGGGGGCAAGCGUUGUUCGGAAUUACUGGGCGUAAAGGGCGCGUAGGCGGCCUGCUAAGUCGGACGUGAAAUCCCUCGGCUCAACCGAGGAACUGCGUCCGAUACUGGUGGGCUUGAAUCCGGGAGAGGGAUGUGGAAUUCCUAGUGUAGAGGUGAAAUUCGUAGAUAUUAGGAAGAACACCAGUGGCGAAGGCGGCUCACUGGCCCGGUACUGACGCUGAGGCGCGAAAGCGUGGGGAGCGAACAGG
rnacentral:rRNA from 1 species